GCUGGCAUGGUGUAGUUGGUUAUCAUACCAGUCUAGCAAACUGGUGGUUGCCCCCAGUUCGAGCCAGAGUGAAAUCA